AAUGAACGCUGGCGGCGUGCCUAAUACAUGCAAGUCGAGCGAACGGACGGGAAGCUUGCUUCUCUGAUGUUAGCGGCGGACGGGUGAGUAACACGUGGAUAACCUACCUAUAAGACUGGGAUAACUUCGGGAAACCGGAGCUAAUACCGGAUAAUAUUUUGAACCGCAUGGUUCAAAAGUGAAAGACGGUCUUGCUGUCACUUAUAGAUGGAUCCGCGCUGCAUUAGCUAGUUGGUAAGGUAACGGCUUACCAAGGCAACGAUGCAUAGCCGACCUGAGAGGGUGAUCGGCCACACUGGAACUGAGACACGGUCCAGACUCCUACGGGAGGCAGCAGUAGGGAAUCUUCCGCAAUGGGCGAAAGCCUGACGGAGCAACGCCGAGUGAGUGAUGAAGGUCUUCGGAUCGUAAAACUCUGUUAUUAGGGAAGAACAUAUGUGUAAGUAACUGUGCACAUCUUGACGGUACCUAAUCAGAAAGCCACGGCUAACUACGUG
rnacentral:rRNA from 1 species